UGGCUGGAUCAGAUGCCUUUUCAGAUCCUGUGUCUUCAUCUAUACUGGACUGUAAACUCCUCCAAGCAGGGAAAUAAACCCUUUACUUCUUUGGCCCCCAUCUCUUCAACUUGCUUCAGCUACAUUUAUCAACAGAGACUGCAAGCUCCAUGAAGGCAGUGACCGAGUCUGUCUUGCUCACUGCGCUAGCCUGUUCUUCACGGUGCCCUCACUGUCAGCACAGGGCCUGGUCGGGUCUACAUAAAUGUGUGUGGAAUUAAUGAAAAGAAUGGGAAGGAAACCUGUACAACUGCCUCAGCGAGUUCCAUUCUGCAGCUGGGUAAGAGCCCCGCUGUAACCAAAGGUUAAAGCUCCACUGAAACAAGCUUUGGACUCAAGAGGUAAAGGACCUCCUGACAAGAUGGCUUAUUAAUUAUGAAGAGGAGAAGUAUCCUUACAAAGAAGAAACCCAGUGGAC